GGCCGCCGCCAUGUCCCACCAGACCGGCAUCCAAGCAAGUGAAGAUGUUAAAGAGAUCUUUGCCAGAGCCAGAAAUGGAAAGUACAGACUUCUGAAAAUAUCUAUUGAAAAUGGUUAGUUAAAUAUUUUAAAAUAUUUUCUGUUCCUGGAUUAGUGGCUGUUGUAUUUUUAAACUUACUGUGUGUUGUCAGUGAUUUGAACUAUUAAUUAAUGUGAAGCAAGUUCAAAUCUUACGGUAACUUGGAUUCCUCAUAUUUUGUGCAGGUCCCUAUGGGCCCCUAAUUUCAUUCUGAAUUAUGUGACUAUCAGGGAAACAAAGAUGUUUUUUGAUGUGACUUCUUCCUCUUUUACUUUUUGUGUCUCAGUUUCUGCACCACAGUCCAUUUCUAAUGUCAGUGCUUCCAUCUCUGGAAUGGAAAUCACUAAACAGGUGAUUAUCAAAAAAAAAAAAAAUA
rnacentral:sRNA from 1 species